rnacentral:rRNA from 1 species
GUAGGUGGCAAGCGUUGUCCGGAAUUAUUGGGCGUAAAGCGCGCGCAGGCGGUUCUUUAAGUCUGAUGUGAAAGCCCACGGCUCAACCGUGGAGGGUCAUUGGAAACUGGAGAACUUGAGUACAGAAGAGGAAAGCGGAAUUCCACGUGUAGCGGUGAAAUGCGUAGGGAUGUGGAGGAACACCAGUGGCGAAGGCGGCUUUCUGGUCUGUAACUGACGCUGAGGCGCGAAAGCGUGGGGAGCAAACAGGGAUUAGAUACCCCGGUAGUCCACGCCGUAAACGGUGGAUACUAGGUGUUGGUGGCUAUCGUCAUCAGUGCCGUAGCUAACGCGUUAAGUAUCCCGCCUGGGAACUACGGCCGCAAGGCUA